rnacentral:rRNA from 1 species
GACGAACGCUGGCGGCGUGCUUAACACAUGCAAGUCGAACGGUAAGGCCCUUCGGGGUACACGAGUGGCGAACGGGUGAGUAACACGUGGGUGAUCUGCCCUGCACUUCGGGAUAAGCCUGGGAAACUGGGUCUAAUACCGGAUAGGACCACUGCCUGCAUGGGUGGUGGUGGAAAGCUUUUGCGGUGUGGGAUGGGCCCGCGGCCUAUCAGCUUGCUGGUGGGGUGAUGGCCUACCAAGGCGACGACGGGUAGCCGGCCUGAGAGGGUGACCGGCCACACUGGGACUGAGAUACGGCCCAGACUCCUACGGGAGGCAGCAGUGGGGAAUAUUGCACAAUGGGCGCAAGCCUGAUGCAGCAACGCCGCGUGCGGGAUGAAGGCCUUCGGGUUGUAAACCGCUUUCAGCAGGGAAGAAAUUGACGGUACCUGCAGAAGAAGCCCCGGCCAACUACGUGCCAGCAGCCGCCGUAA